GGCGUGACGGUAUCCAACCAGAAAGCCACGGCUAACUACGUGCCAGCAGCCGCGGUAAUACGUAGGUGGCAAGCGUUAUCCGGAUUUAUUGGGCGUAAAGCGAGCGCAGGCGGUUUUUUAAGUCUGAUGUGAAAGCCCUCGGCUUAACCGAGGAAGUGCAUCGGAAACUGGGAAACUUGAGUGCAGAAGAGGACAGUGGAACUCCAUGUGUAGCGGUGAAAUGCGUAGAUAUAUGGAAGAACACCAGUGGCGAAGGCGGCUGUCUGGUCUGUAACUGACGCUGAGGCUCGAAAGCAUGGGUAGCGAACAGGAUUAGAUACCCUGGUAGUCCAUGCCGUAAACGAUGAAUGCUAGGUGUUGGAGGGUUUCCGCCCUUCAGUGCCGCAGCUAACGCAUUAAGCAUUCCGCCUGGGGAGUACGACCGCAAGGUUGAAACUCAAAGGAAUUGACGGGGGCCCGCACAAGCGGUGGAGCAUGUGGUUUAAUUCGAAGCAACGCGAAGAACCUUACCAGGUCUUGACAUCUUUUGAUCACCUGAGAGAUCAGGUUUCCCCUUCGGGGGCAAAAUGACAGGUGGUGCAUGGUUGUCGUCAGCUCGUGUCGUGAGAUGUUGGGUUAAGUCCCGCAACGAGCGCAACCCUUAUGACUAGUUGCCAGCAUUUAGUUGGGCACUCUAGUAAGACUGCCGGUGACAAACCGGAGGAAGGUGGGGAUGACGUCAAAUCAUCAUGCCCCUUAUGACCUGGGCUACACACGUGCUACAAUGGAUGGUACAACGAGUUGCGAGACCGCGAGGUCAAGCUAAUCUCUUAAAGCCAUUCUCAGUUCGGACUGUAGGCUGCAACUCGCCUACACGAAGUCGGAAUCGCUAGUAAUCGCGGAUCAGCACGCCGCGGUGAAUACGUUCCCGGGCCUUGUACACACCGCCCGUCACACCAUGAGAGUUUGUAACACCCGAAGCCGGUGGCGUAACCCUUUUAGGGAGCGAGCCGUCUAAGGUGGGACAAAUGAUUAGGGUGAAGUCGUAACAAGGUAGCCGUAGGAGAACCUGCGGCUGGAUCACCUCCUUUCUAAGGAA
rnacentral:rRNA from 2 species